GGGAAACUUGCCGAAAGUGGAUUUAUAUGUGAGUAAAUUAAUUUGAAUUGUUCAAAUAUGAGGUAAUUAACAGUUAUUAACUAUAUUGGCUUAAUGUAAAUCUAGACCGACAACAUUGGGAAGGUCGAUGUUUGAUUUUACAAAGUCGGAAAAACGGAAAAUAAUUUACACAACAACGACUUAUUAUUUUCCCAAUUUCUCACUAACAACAGUGGUUCAUCCGUGUUGCAAAGUGUAUGUCAGCUUAAAUUUUGUAUAAUAUUUCUUUGUUUUAGACAGAAAAUACGGUUUAGAUAACUACACGGUCCUGUUUACUGAUUUCAGUAAGUUGACUCAAUUAUCAAUAUUUGCUCGUAUAGAAAAGAAGGCUACUCAUCAACUUAUUUAUCACAGAUAUAUAGCUUCAAAUUUGUUUUCGUUAUGUUUCACAAAAAUUGUUAUCCUUUUGGGCUCAUCUGUCUAUGUGUAUAAACAGAGUGACCCAUUUAUCAUAAAACAGUAAUUUCCUUGUAGGAUUUUAAAUGACUUUCAGUUAUUUUCUUUCAAUCAUUAUGAAAUCAUUUAUGCUUUAUUUUAACAGUUUUUUCGAUUUUUCAUCCCUUUUACGUAUACCUUAAAUGAGUAUAUACAAUUAUAACCCACCCCUUUUCUUUUUAACACAUGCAUAUAAUUUGUACAAGUUUUAAAGUGUUGACUAGGGAGAAUGUAAAUGUUAUAAUUUUAUCAUCUUAAAAUGGAUAUCAAUUUUAUUACACUUUUCUCCCUUCCUCCAAUCUAUAUGCUUAACUAAUAAAAGUUAUAACUCGUGAACGGUAAAUAUAACAUUAGUUGUGUGUGCAUAUCAAAAUGUGUUGAGAAAAAUAUUAUCCCUGCCAGUCUGUGUUUUAAAGCGAGGAUUCAUAUUUGAAAAUCAAAAGUGCAUAGGUACUGAAUUAAGGUAUAAGGUGAACAAAUUAAAAAUAUUUUUCAAAAACUGCUUAAACGAUUCAAUAACUAUUGAGAAAAAAAAAACACUAAUAAAAUUAACUUAAAUUCCUCCAAAAAAAUGUCUGGUUAAUGAUAAAUGAAACGUUUGUUUAUAUGUAGGUAUUUUGAAAUUAAAAUUCUACAUUCAAUUGAGUUUGUAGUAUUUACUUAAAAAGAAAACUUUAAUCAUUUAACUGUUACAAAUUCAAUACAAUUGUCAGAUCGAGAGGUAAUUUUCGUUUUAUUUUCGGCAAAAACAAAAAAUUCAACACACAUAAUACGAAUUUAAAUGCACACAUAAAGAUGAAAUAUGCAUAAUAUAUUUAGCUAUCCAACUAAAUUAAAACUAUUGUACGUUUUAUUUUUUCUAUAGUGUAUUAUAUUAAGUAUACUUCGACAAACUACUGAGACAUUAUUUUUGAAAUUCUGAAAUCAUUUUCGAGUGUAAUUAUAAUUUUCUUCUGAAUUUAUUUUAGUUCUUAACAAUGGUUCCGAAUAUUACUAUACAAAUUUGACACUUAAAAGUAAGUAAAAUAAUAUUGCAUUAACAUUCACAGAUUCAUUGAAAAAUUAAUGCAUUCGUGACUUAGGUGACUUACGUGAACUUAACAAAUUAUAAUAUAUUGUGUAAGCAGUACCUAGCAACUAGGUAAUACGAAUUUGAACUUAGCACAUUUUGUACAUCAACAAAAAUAUAUAUUUUUAAUGCAUUUAAUCGAAGAAUAUGACGCUUGGCAUUCAAUACACAUGCAUAUGUAAAAUUAAUGCGUUCAAAUUCGUAAGUUAUAAUGCGAAAAUGGGCUCGUGACUGCAUUCGUUUCAAACCCCGAAAAAUAUCAGCCUCGGUAUAGAUACGAAUGAUUUAUUUUAACCACACGGUAAACACGGUUUAUUUCAUUACAUUUCUUUGGUGUGUGCUAUUUGAGUAAAGGAUGUUUGGGCACGAAUGAUUAAAGAUCAUAGCACAAUCGGGCUAUUUUAUGGUAUAUUUGGGUUACAAAUGGGCUGUAUAGUAUAUUUGGACACUAAAAAUCACUAGAUUUCGGACCUUGUCAUUUCGCCGUGCCAUUUUCCCGAUACCUUACUUAAACCCGUCGUGGUUUUUCAUCGACUAGUUUCUACGUACGUUUUCAACGCCUACCAGAUAUUUUGACGGUAUGGCAACAACGUAAUUUAUUGACAAAUAAUACUAUUAUUGUAGUCAUAGAAUAAAAUCUAAUAUUUUUUUCCAGUCGAUGAUGCAUGCAGUCAAGAAAAAUGGGGUGGUGAGUGUAGUAUAUAGUAUUAUCAAAAUGUUGGAAAUCAUUGCUAGGUACCACUAAUAAAAAAAUCAUUGUUUUUUAGAAAUAAAAAUAAUAAUUUUUCUAUAUUUGUUUUAGAAUUUGGAAACAAAUACUGCUUAUACUUGGUUACUCAGAUUUAUGAAAUAUUUCAGAACAAUAAUGAAACAGGUUUUUUUUUUUUGUUUUUUUUUGUUAAAAUAAUAAAAAAAAAAGUAGUGAAAUAAAUAACUUCAUAAGAAAUAAUAACAAAUCAUGAUUACCGACGUUAUACAACAACUAAAUCAGUUAUAAAUAUGAACGCAUAAACUGUAUAUGUGUAUUAUAUAUUCAUAUAUCCACAAAACGUGCAUACUGCAAUGUCAUAAUUUAAAAAUUUGUUGUCAUGAUGAGUUUUUCAGUACCUAUAUUUGAUUGAUAAACUAUUAUUCAUGUUUAUAUAAGAAAUCAAACAGUUACUUUAAAAUGUUUUUUAGGGUCCGACAAAAUCUCAGAUUAUUGGUGUUUUACAAGACUAGGUAUGUAUACAUUUAAAAUGGAGGACAUAGUGUAACUAAAAUGGAUUAAAAUUAAGGAAAAUCCGAAGUAUAGAAUAGUAUAUUAUUUUUAUUGUAAUUUAUUUUAAUUUAAAAAAUAAAUUCAAUGUAAAUUUAUUUCCUUUAUACAUAAAAGACAUUAUUUUAAUGAACUGGAAUAAACUUAAUUCAUCAUUCUUUUCAAAUUUUUCACAACUAUUGUUGGUAAUCUACUAAUACAUUUGUACAAGAUUUCCUCCGUUGAAUGAUUGAAUGACGAAAACCUCGAUAUGUAAAUUAUCUAAUAUGGAGUAUAGUUUUAGGUCAAUUUCGUUUAGUGUUUUAUUCUAGCAACAUAUAUUAUACAGAGUCUUCCAAAUGAAAAAAAUGUCAACUCCAAAAUUGAUUUAAACUAAUGCUUUGUCUAUUUAUGGAAUGUUUAAUAUUUAAAUAAAGAGCUAAUACUGGAGAUGGAAGUGGCUACUGUUGUAGGUGAGAAUUUGGGAAGGUAGGAUACACAAGAUUAUUAUUAUUAUUUUUUUUUUUUUUUUUGCGAUUUUCGUUUAAAUUUGAUUUCGCAACGCUUAUUAAAAAAAAAAAAAAAGUCGUCCAAUGAUUUUGGAAAUUUUACCACGUCUAUGUGGGUCCAAUAUAAAUAUUAUUACAAAGUUUCAAGUUUCUAAGUGUAUUUCUAACCGAAUUACAGCAAAAAACUCAGUAAAACAAGUAAAUAUACAAUAUCUACACAAUGUAUGAUCAAUGUACAACAUUAUCUCACUAUAACAAAAAAUUAACAAUAAACAAAUUAUGUAUUUUAUAAUUAGUGUACUAGAAUUUAACGAAUUAUCAUACGAGUUCGUACAAGUACAAUGUUAUAUGAAAUAGUGUCUUCUAGCAUUGAUUUUUUUUUUCAAACAAUUAAAUAGUUGAGUGCAGAUUAAAAUUGCAGAUUAAAAUAAAUAAGUUUGAUUUGUAUUAGUAAAUUUAAAAAGUAACAUUUGAAAAGGCAAACCUUAAAAGAGACAAAAAUACAAAUUUUUCAAAAUCGAAAUCUGUUGGCAAAAUUGGGAAAGUCAAAAUUUAGAAAUUCAAAACUUGGAAAGACAAAGUUUUGAUUUUCCAAUUAUUUAAAACCGUUUUUAUUUUUAGAAUUUAAGUAAUAAUAUGUGUACCCGUGUAUGCUUUUAGGUUUACCUGAAAACGAGGGUAAGUAGGUACUUCACACUAAAAUCAAUCUAUAUUGCAAUAUGAUUUAUUUCAAUUAGUUUUACUUGAUUAAUUUUGCUUGAAUUAUGGGAGUGAGUAGGGGACAUACCCCUUAGUAAAAAAGUAGACACACGUUUUCAUCAAUGUAAUACUUCAAACAAAUAUUGAUAAAAAAAAAAUUAAUAAUGAAAUGAAAAUAAAUAAUAAUAUGUAUAAUGUUUUGACAUAAUAAUAUUGUAACUCUACAUGCCUAUUCGACCCCUCUAACAGCUGAAUCCUCCCAGGAGAAUUUCGAGUAAAGACUACAAUUAUAAUAAUUUGCAUUAAUGUCUUCUUUUUGUAUUCGUGCACGUUUAUGUUGAUGAAUACACGUUGUGACAAUUUUAACGGCGUUCAUAAAUGGUUUACAUGGUUAAUGCUGCUAGAACCACAAUAUAUUUUGGUAUAAUAAUAAUUUGAUAAUAUUAUGUUUUUUCCCAUAGGGCAUUGACGUUUGUUUUUUGUAUUCUCUGGUCACUAGUACUUUCGUUGUUUUCUUAGUACGAGUAAUUGGGAAAACGGACAAUUCGUCCUCGGGAAACCCGUCCCCGUCAUAAUAUUAUAUGCGAACAAUCAGUCCUUGGUAAUUUUUAUUUCAACACGGUUUUAUGAGAAUACGUUUUGAAAUAACUGUAUGAAACCUAUAAGUGACACAGAAAAAAAAAUGGUAUCUAUAUGUAUUUGUCAUAGUUUAAGUAUCAACUUUUAAAAAGUUGAAAUCAAUUGUAAUAAAAUGAAUAUAUGGGUACAAAAUACCUACUAAUCACUUAGAUUACUUAUUACAGCCUACGACGGUAAGAAACAAUUAACAUAAGAUAUACACUAUGAAGGGUAACAACAAUAUACUUACCUAUCCUGAACGGAGUAUCCUCAACAACAAUGUUGAGUUUAAAUACAGGUAUAAUUAUAUUUAUUUAUUAUGUUGAUGAAAACAAGUGGUAGGAAUGAUAAAACAAACACUUGAUUAAAUUAAAAAUGACGAUAUCGGAAUGUUAGAAGCCGGAACAACACGCACUCGCGGGAAGACGAAAAAGUGAGAUGGAGGAGUCUCUUAUGAGAAAGAAAAGGGGAAAAUAGUGAAGUGGUGUUGUCCGGUUCUCAGUACCAUGUUUUAUUAUUAUAUGAGAUAUUUAACUAUAAUACAUACUAUUUGUAUUAAUCUAAAUUGACUUAUAAACUAACAAAAUGAAGUGGUGUCCUCUAUAAUAAAAUGUAGUGUACAUAAUAAUAAUGUUAUAUAAUAUUAUGUUAUGAUACAUAUUAUAUUGUAUAUAUCAUUGCAUAAUUAAUAUUAAUAUAUUUAACAUAUCAAUAUUAAACAUUAAUUUGUAUAAGUAUUAUUUUAUUUUACAAAUUUUUAAAUUAUUUUUACGAUAUUACUCUGAUAAUUUUAACUAUAACUCUUUUUAAUUUAUAAUUCCUAUAACUACCUGUGUUAUCAUAUUUCAUUUUUUACGUUUCAAAAAUUAGUUAAUUAGUAUUAAAAGUUUUUAGCGAUAAGUAAUAAGAAAAAUGUUAGAAAAAAAUGCAUUGAAACGUAAUCUUAUAAAAACAUGGGAAAAAAAUGUACCGGGGACGGAUUGUCCGCUUAUAUGACGUUUUUUCGCGGGGGCCGAUUGUCCGUGGAAGAAUAAUUUGUCCUAGAGUCGUAUAUUUGGUGCAUACGAGAUGAAAAGAAAGAGAAAAGUUGAAAUCUAUGACGAGGUGUAGGGAGGCUGACAAAUAAAAAAAAAAAACAUUACACUUGUACAUUUUUACCUUGUAGAAAAAACAUAUUAUUACUAAUAAGACAACAGAUAGACAGAUGACACUGUGGCGGUAGACUUUUCAUCAAGCGUGGACACAGAAAGAUAGUUUAAGAUAGGUCGUUUAAUAUAAUAUGAGUUAUGAUCGUCUUUAUUGUAAUUUAUAAAUUUGUAAUCAAUUACCGACCGCCGUUAUCAAAAAAGUAAACCGUACACACAGAAAUUGUUGAACCAGAUUCAACUUAACGAUAACCUGGUUAAACAUGCGGUAACACGGAUAAACAUGGUUACUCAAAAGGUCACCACGCUAACCUAGUCGUGAUCAUCCUAGUAAUCAUCGUGAUCAUCAAGAUCACAACGCAGAAAGGUACGUGCACGCGAACGCCGCAGUGGAAACCCACAUUAACAAUCAAAUCGUAAAAUAGUACGCAUAUUACAUACAUAACACGGUCCAUGUGGGAGGUUAGCCCUUAGUAUACCUCGUCUUGAAUUAUUAUCCAUACAUUAGAUAGCAUACUUGAAUAUUUAUUAUUAGCAGAUCUUCGUCAUUAGAUUCUAUUGGUGGAUCCGUCACGGUGCGAAUUACGUUGACUCAUAGACCUACAAAUUAGCUUAUAAAAGUUUUUUAUCAAUUUAUAGGUCUAGGCGUCAGUUUAUUAUUUCUUUGUUUUAGGUAUGGUAUACAUCAUAGAUGAUAACACUAGGCAAACCGUCAUGAAUAACACGGAAUUCCCGGAUGACAUCAGUCGGUUGAACAAUUUCAGUAAGUUACCUUUAUAUACUGGAUUGUCUAUACCAAUAUAUGUAUAUACAACAUAAAGUAGGUAAGUAUUAAAAAGGAAUACUUGGAAAUCAAACUUCUGUGGUUCAUACACGAAUUGUGCCAUUAAAAUUGGUACGAAAAUUAUAUUAUAUUCUGUAUAUUUCUGAUUCGUAUAUGAAGGUUAUAGGGAAAAAACCAGAAAAGGAUUUUUUUUUUUUACAAAUUAAAAAGUUCGGAUUAAGUUUAAUGUCAAACUUUGAAAUGAUAUUAACCAAUGCUAUAGUCGUGUAUUAACCCAACAUUUACCUAGUUAUAUCUUACCUGGUUUUUUUACAUAAAUUUUAAAUUCAGGCAAGUCCAUUUUGCUCGGAUGCAUUAAUCAGACUUUUCUUGUUCUUACAAACAAUUGAAAAACGAAAAAAGUUUUAACUUUACUUUUAAACUUUUACUUCCAUAGUUUUUGCACAACCCCCUUCAAUUAUAGUACUAAAUGUACAUCUUAUUAUCAUCUAGAGAAAAUCCCAGGUUCAAGAAGAAUAAAGAGUUUCCACCAACCAGUCAAUGGGCUGGUUAACAAAGAACACUGCUAACAAACUACACAAAGAUACUAAAACACUUUGUAAUCAAAAUUUUUUAAAUUGUAUUCUAGUUAUGCCUGGAACGG
rnacentral:lncRNA from 1 species